rnacentral:rRNA from 1 species
UACGUAGGGAGCAAGCGUUGUCCGGAUUCACUGGGUGUAAAGGGUGCGCAGGCGGGAGAGUAAGUCAGAGGUGAAAUCUUACAGCUUAACUGUGAAACUGCCUUUGAUACUGCUUUUCUUGAGUUCGGGAGAGGUUGAUGGAAUUCCAGGUGUAGCGGUGAAAUGCGUAGAUAUCUGGAAGAACACCAGUGGCGAAGGCGGUCAACUGGCCCGUAACUGACGCUCAGGCACGAAAGCGUGGGUAGCGAACAGG